AAAUGCUUGCAGCAUUCACACCCAAUUAGCUGGAAUUAGCAGCAGAUUGUUCAGUGGUUCAUUGCUCAGUUUUCUGAAC